rnacentral:rRNA from 1 species
UACGGGGGGGGGCAAGCGUUGUUCGGAAUUACUGGGCGUAAAGGGUUCGUAGGUGGCUUGCUAAGUCAGACGUGAAAUCCCUCAGCUUAACUGGGGAACUGCGUCUGAGACUGGCAAGCUUGAGUGCAGGGAGAGGAAUGCGGAAUUCCAGGUGUAGCGGUGAAAUGCGUAGAUAUCUGGAGGAACACCGGUGGCGAAGGCGGCAUCCUGGACCAACACUGACGCUGAGGAGCGAAAGCCAGGGGAGCAAACGGG